UAUCAACAAACACAGCACAAACGAAAAACAGAAUGUGAAAAACAAGUUAGAACCAGAGAAGAAAAACAUCAAAAUGGACUCAGAAUAACAUUUUGAUAAAUCGUGGUGAGAGUGUUCUACAAGUGGCUGACGAAACGGGCCUUCCACGGUCGACAGUUUACGGAAUCGAGAAGCAAGAAAUAGCAUUGCGGUAUUGCAAGGCGUUGGUCAACUAAACUAUCCCCUGAUUUCGAGAUAAUAAUAGGAAAUAUAAAGGUAGAGAAACCAGAUGCCGAAAUCGACACAACUAUCGUUAAGGAAGAAUAUGAUGUGAAACUUAACAAUACGAAUGCAAUCACUCAGCCCAUGGCGCCGAAGAAAUUAACCAAGAACAUUCAUAAACUUAUCAAAAAAGCAUCAAAACACAAAUCUUAUUUACGAUAUGGAUUAAAGGAUGUUCAAGUGCGUCCGCGGAAUAAUGAAACAGGGAAAGCAAUGUGUAUAUUGUGUGUUGAAAUGGAGGUUGCAAUUUAUAAAAAAGAUUGUCAUUUUCGCUGCAGAAAAGUGGAAAUCAUGUGUCACUUGCCAUCUGUUUGUGAGAAACGCAAUAUCCCAUAUUGCUAUACGCCGAGU